ensembl:misc_RNA Metazoa_SRP Metazoan signal recognition particle RNA
GCCAGGCGUGGUGGCACAUGCCUGUAGUCUCAACUACUCAGGAGGCUGAGGCAGGAGGAUCACCUGAGCCCAGGAGUUCCAGGCUGUAGUGAGCUAUGAUUGUGUCACUGCACUCUAGCCUGGGCAACAGAGCAAGAUCCUGUCUCAA